GGUGAAGGAUUUACUCCGUAAGCUCUGGCUGGUCGAAGAUACCAGGCCGCUGCGACUGUUUAUUAAAAACACAGCACUCUGCAAACACGAAAGUGGACGUAUAGGGUGUGACGCCUGCCCGGUGCCGGAAGGUUAAUUGAUGGGGUUAGCGCAAGCGAAGCUCUUGAUCGAAGCCCCGGUAAACGGCGGCCGUAACUAUAACGGUCCUAAGGUAGCGAAAUUCCUUGUCGGGUAAGUUCCGACCUGCACGAAUGGCGUAACGAUGGCGGCGCUGUCUCCACCCGAGACUCAGUGAAAUUGAAAUCGCUGUGAAGAUGCAGUGUAUCCGCGGCUAGACGGAAAGACCCCGUGAACCUUUACUGUAGCUUUGCACUGGACUUUGAGCCUGCUUGUGUAGGAUAGGUGGGAGGCUUUGAAGCGUGGACGCCAGUUCGCGUGGAGCCAUCCUUGAAAUACCACCCUGGCAUGCUUGAGGUUCUAACUCUGGUCCGUGAUCCGGAUCGAGGACAGUGUAUGGUGGGCAGUUUGACUGGGGCGGUCUCCUCCUAAAGAGUAACGGAGGAGUACGAAGGUGCGCUCAGACCGGUCGGAAAUCGGUCGUAGAGUAUAAAGGCAAAAGCGCGCUUGACUGCGAGACAGACACGUCGAGCAGGUACGAAAGUAGGUCUUAGUGAUCCGGUGGUUCUGUAUGGAAGGGCCAUCGCUCAACGGAUAAAAGGUACUCCGGGGAUAACAGGCUGAUACCGCCCAAGAGUUCAUAUCGACGGCGGUGUUUGGCACCUCGAUGUCGGCUCAUCACAUCCUGGGGCUGAAGCCGGUCCCCGGGGUAUGGCUGUUCGCCAUUUAAAGUGGUACGCGAGCUGGGUUUAGAACGUCGUGAGACAGUUCGGUCCCUAUCUGCCGUGGACGUUUGAGAUUUGAGAGGGGCUGCUCCUAGUACGAGAGGACCGGAGUGGACGAACCUCUGGUGUUCCGGUUGUCACGCCAGUGGCAUUGCCGGGUAGCUAUGUUCGGAAAAGAUAACCGCUGAGAGCAUCUAAGCGGGAAACUUGCCUCAAGAUGAGAUCUCACUGGGAACUUGAUUCCCCUGAAGGGCCGUCGAAGACUACGACGUUGAUAGGCUGGGUGUGUAAGCGUUGUGAGGCGUUGAGCUAACCAGUACUAAUUGCCCGUGAGGCUUGACCAU
rnacentral:rRNA from 1 species